GACAGGGUGGCGUAGUGGUUAGUGCGUCUGCCUUGUGAGCAGGAGAUCCGGGUUCGAAUCCCGGCCUUUUGUACA